GACUCUCGGCAACGGAUAUCUCGGCUCUCGCAUCGAUGAAGAACGUAGCGAACUGAGAUACUUGGUGUGAAUUGCAGAAUCCCGUGAACCAUCGAGUCUUUGAACGCAAGUUGCGCCCGAAGCCAUUCGGUCGAGGGCACGUUUGCCUGGGUGUCACACAU
rnacentral:rRNA from 1 species